rnacentral:lncRNA from 1 species
AAAUGGGCAUCCAUCCACCUUCGGUGAUAACAACACUUGCACAUGCACAGAUUUGCAGGUUGAUAAAUAAGCAAUAUGACAAUAGCUCUCUCUCUCUCUCUCAGCCAAGAAAGCAUUUUCAUAACCUGCAAAUUCUUAUUCUUAAUCAGUCAACUCCCUUUAUCCUGUCUCUAUGUGUAAUUCUAUGAUAGAUUCAAUGAUUUUUCAUAUACUGAGAAAUGUUCUGCAGAUUAAUAACGCCAAUCAAGAUUUGCCAGUCAGUAAAGAAAUAUGCUCUUCUCCCUUUCUGUUCUGUUAAUCACAGCUCACUAGAUUCUGUUGCAGACAAAUUCUGCAACCAAGCAUACGAAGCCUCCGGUACCAAGUUCGCACCACUUUUUCAAGUCAUUUCGUUCUUUCCUUUUCUUUCUUUUCCCUGCUUUAAAGUGAGGUAACCAUACCAACUAAUCAAUGGAGUUGGUCCAAUUAAUGGUCAGGAAAGGGCUCUUAGAGUUUUUCCUGCUGUCUCUCUGGUUCAGAGUUUGAAUCUUGUGUACGUGGCAAUAGAGGUGGAGAGACUAUUGUUUUCUUGGCGCCAUUCUGGGCGAUCAAAAGUUCUGGGAUAUGAUCAAGAAAGAAAGGUGACACAGACAAAAAGAGUAUAUUGAAUCAUUUGCCUUCCACUACAAAGCUAUAGUACUAAACAGGUACCUUUGAGAACAAUGAUAUAGUAUAUGUUAAAGGAGUAUUGGAGAAUAAUAACGACAUCCACAUACUCACCAAUCCUGCUGCAGAUUUUAAACAUCAUAGGAAUGCUAUUAUUAGGUAAUGCAUCGCUAUCAAUUCACGUGAACUCUCCCUCACAAAAAACACAAAUACAAACAUCUCGAAAGAAAAGCUGAAUGCAUGAAUGCAAUUCAUUGUACCAAGUUGCUGUGGCGUACACAAUAAUACAAUAUUGUGUACAAAAAUCUAUAUAUAUAUAUAUAUGGUUAUCAGAAGUCCUUGUCUUCUUUUUCCAUCACUGUCCUGUGUCCAUAUUAGAGAUUAGCAAAGCAAAAGUUGUAGGCCUGGUGGUCACCACCAGUCUUGGUAGAGACCCUUGAUCUCCCACUAACUACCACUUUAUGUGACAGACUGACUUAAUUAGCUUUCUUCGAUGAGAUCUCGGACUCACGUUGAGUCCCUCUCCCUUUCCUCUAAAUUAGGUUAUAAAAAUUUUACCGUUUUAAAAAAAAAAACAAUGACACAAUCACACUAGUCUUGGAUGUGUCAUAGAAUCUAUUACAAGGAUGGAGAAUUAUAAUAAUAAUAAUAAUGGCACAAUCGCAAAGUUGAGGGAAAGCUUUAUUAUUAUUUUUUCUUCCAUUUUGAUUCUUUUGCUUAAGAGGUCCGAAAUCUCAACAGUACAUCAGUAAUUUUUAUGAGCACGAGGGAAAAGAGAUUUUUCAAGUAGCAUGAAGAUUAAGGUAAGCUUAGGCCAAAACAAGUGAAUGGUGUAAAUGUUGGGAAUCUAUUCUCUUGCGUAUUCUUCUCUAAUUUAAACAACAAAGCAAUUUCUCUUCUGCAAUCAAAUUUUUUGUGCAUUUGCAAAUCAAGCAACUACACUGAGGCGAGGAACUACAAAAUUUAUAACUUGCAGUAUUAAUUUCAUAGGUGGAAAUGGUGGGACCAUUUCCAUCCACCACUGGUCCAUCAACAUUUACACACAAUUAAUGUCCACCCAUACUAACAAUUAAAGUAUGUAUACUCCUCCCCCACUCCUCACAGUUUUCCAACUUUAAUUCUGGAAAGCUUUUUCUUUUUUUUUUUUUUUUUUUUUGGGUAAACCUUAAAUCUGCAAUUACCAGCUUAUAAUUACGAUUGAAAUUUAAACACUAAAUAUUUGCACCAAAUGUACUACUAACAUUUAUUGGGGCUAAAACCAAACUGCCUGUUAGCCAGGUCGAAACUGACACGUGUCCCUUGCUGCUGCACAUUACCGAUAAUGGACAGUGAACUCGUCGGAGCAAAUGCCAAACAAAAUUUCCCCCGCCCAUCAAC